rnacentral:tRNA from 4 species
GCCCGGGUGGUGAAAUUGGUAGACGCAGGGGACUCAAAAUCCCCCGCCGCGAGGCGUGCCGGUUCGAGUCCGGCCCCGGGCACCA